GACGAACGCUGGCGGCGUGCUUAACACAUGCAAGUCGAACGGUAAGGCUCCAGCUUGCUGGGGUACACGAGUGGCGAACGGGUGUGUAACACGUGGGUGACCUGCCCUGCACUUCGGGAUAAGCCUGGGAAACUGGGUCUAAUACCGGAUAGGACCAUGGUGUGGAUACUGUGGUGGAAAGUUUUUUCGGUGUGGGAUGGGCCCGCGGCCUAUCAGCUUGUUGGUGGGGUAAUGGCCUACCAAGGCGGCGACGGGUAGCCGGCCUGAGAGGGUGGACGGCCACAUUGGGACUGAGACACGGCCCAGACUCCUACGGGAGGCAGCAGUGGGGAAUAUUGCACAAUGGGCGGAAGCCUGAUGCAGCGACGCCGCGUGGGGGAUGAUGGCCUUCGGGUUGUAAACUCCUUUCACCAUCGACGAAGGGUUUCUGACGGUAGAUGGAGAAGAAGCACCGGCUAACUACGUG
rnacentral:rRNA from 1 species